UACGUAGGGUGCGAGCGUUGUCCGGAAUUACUGGGCGUAAAGAGCUCGUAGGCGGUUUGUCGCGUUGUUCGUGAAAACUCACGGCUUAACUGUGAGCGUGCGGGCGAUACGGGCAGACUGGAGUACUGCAGGGGAGACUGGAAUUCCUGGUGUAGCGGUGGAAUGCGCAGAUAUCAGGAGGAACACCGGUGGCGAAGGCGGGUCUCUGGGCAGUAACUGACGCUGAGGAGCGAAAGCGUGGGGAGCGAACAGG
rnacentral:rRNA from 1 species